GUGUGUUCCAGGUAAAUCCGGUUCACUUUAACACUGAGGCGUGACGACGAGGCACUACGGUGCUGAAGCAACAAAUGCCCUGCUUCCAGGAAAAGCCUCUAAGCAUCAGGUAACAUCAAAUCGUACCCCAAACCGACACAGGUGGUCAGGUAGAGAAUACCAAGGCGCUUGAGAGAACUCGGGUGAAGGAACUAGGCAAAAUGGUGCCGUAACUUCGGGAGAAGGCACGCUGACACGUAGGUGAAGUGAUUUACUCAUGGAGCUGAAGUCAGUCGAAGAUACCAGCUGGCUGCAACUGUUUAUUAAAAACACAGCACUGUGCAAACACGAAAGUGGACGUAUACGGUGUGACGCCUGCCCGGUGCCGGAAGGUUAAUUGAUGGGGUCAGCGCAAGCGAAGCUCCUGAUCGAAGCCCCGGUAAACGGCGGCCGUAACUAUAACGGUCCUAAGGUAGCGAAAUUCCUUGUCGGGUAAGUUCCGACCUGCACGAAUGGCGUAAUGAUGGCCAGGCUGUCUCCACCCGAGACUCAGUGAAAUUGAACUCGCUGUGAAGAUGCAGUGUACCCGCGGCAAGACGGAAAGACCCCGUGAACCUUUACUAUAGCUUGACACUGAACAUUGAGCCUUGAUGUGUAGGAUAGGUGGGAGGCUUUGAAGUGUGGACGCCAGUCUGCAUGGAGCCGACCUUGAAAUACCACCCUUUAAUGUUUGAUGUUCUAACGUGGACCCGUUACCCGGGUUGCGGACAGUGUCUGGUGGGUAGUUUGACUGGGGCGGUCUCCUCCUAAAGAGUAACGGAGGAGCACGAAGGUUGGCUAAUCCUGGUCGGACAUCAGGAGGUUAGUGCAAUGGCAUAAGCCAGCUUGACUGCGAGCGUGACGGCGCGAGCAGGUGCGAAAGCAGGUCAUAGUGAUCCGGUGGUUCUGAAUGGAAGGGCCAUCGCUCAACGGAUAAAAGGUACUCCGGGGAUAACAGGCUGAUACCGCCCAAGAGUUCAUAUCGACGGCGGUGUUUGGCACCUCGAUGUCGGCUCAUCACAUCCUGGGGCUGAAGUAGGUCCCAAGGGUAUGGCUGUUCGCCAUUUAAAGUGGUACGCGAGCUGGGUUUAGAACGUCGUGAGACAGUUCGGUCCCUAUCUGCCGUGGGCGCUGGAGAACUGAGGGGGGCUGCUCCUAGUACGAGAGGACCGGAGUGGACGCAUCACUGGUGUUCGGGUUGUCAUGCCAAUGGCACUGCCCGGUAGCUAAAUGCGGAAGAGAUAAGUGCUGAAAGCAUCUAAGCACGAAACUUGCCCCGAGAUGAGUUCUCCCUGAGACUUAGAGUCUCCUGAAGGAACGUUGAAGACGACGACGUUGAUAGGCCGGGUGUGUAAGCGCAGCGAUGCGUUGAGCUAACCGGUAC
rnacentral:rRNA from 1 species